CCUACGGGUGGCAGCAGUGAGGAAUAUUGGUCAAUGGACGAGAGUCUGAACCAGCCAAGUAGCGUGAAGGAUGACUGCCCUAUGGGUUGUAAACUUCUUUUAUAUGGGAAUAAAACAGGGUAGGCAUACCUUCUUGUAUGUACUAUAUGAAUAAGGAUCGGCUAACUCCGUGCCAGCAGCCGCGGUAAUACGGAGGAUCCGAGCGUUAUCCGGAUUUAUUGGGUUUAAAGGGGGCGUAGGUGGGUUGUUAAGGCCGUUGAGAAAGUUUGCGGCUAAACCGUAAAAUUGCAAUUGAUACUGGCAGUCUUGAGUACAGUAGAGGUGGGCGGAAGUCGUGGUGUAGCGGUGAAAUGCUUAGAUAUCACGAAGAACUCCGAUUGCGAAGGCAGCUCACUAGACUGCAACUGACACUGAUGCUCGAAAGUGUGGGUAUCAAACAGGAGUAGAUACCCUAGUAGUC
rnacentral:rRNA from 1 species